rnacentral:lncRNA from 1 species
AAAGCGGUACACGUGGACCAUCCUGAACCGUCCGAUCAAAAGUUACAAAAUUCUGACCUGGCUCGGGUUAGUGCUUAAAUCCUUGUUUUGCAAUACCUUUCCCUUGUCUCGUUGAAAUCAAGGCGGAGGCUUUCAACCGAGAAACGACUUGUUUUCUUCUGUAACUUGUUGACGCUGGUAAGAGUUCGAUUCAAUUAUGUAAAGUUCAUGCCUUUCAAUUUUGAUCAGUUUCCCACUUUGGAUUUCUAUCCAUGGUUCGAUUUUAUCUGUCUGUUUCAAUAUUGACUGUUGACAUAAAUCAUAAAAUACCAUCUAUCGUUUCUGCCAAAAUCCUUCAUACCCUGUUCAGGAUUUGCACAGUUUCUGCCGGGGCUUGAAAUUUUAAGAUUGACCCUUUUGGACUCGUUGGCUGAAUUUUAUGUAUGCAUGAAAUUUCAUAGAACUUUUUGACUGAUAGUUAGGAACUGAGAUGUUGAAGCCUCUCUCUGUUAUGCAGAUAAUGGGGUUGUGGACUUUGCUCCAAGGCUUUUUGCUACUUGCAAAUGCAUUUGCAGUACUGAAUGAGGAUCGGUUUCUUGGUCCGAGGGGGUGGACCUUGUUACAAAUACAAGGAGGAAAAACCACGCUUAAGGGACAGAUCAUAGGGUUUAUACAUGCAUGCCAAUACUUCAGAUUACCUCUUAUAGUUUUGAACAUCAUAACCAUUGCAGUGAAGCUAAUCUCUGGGUGAAGCUCUGUGUGAUUUAUGCCUCUUUGUAAUUUAUGAAUUUUGGGCUAGUUAACAUGGUUUUGAUCCAUGGCCUUCGUUGUUGUUGUACAUAUAGUUUACUUAUUUGAAUUGAGUUUCAAAAUUUUCCCCUUUUCACUUCUCCUCUGUUUUGUUUGUUGUUCACAAGAAACACAAGAGAAUCGGGAUGCAGAUAGCUUAUUGAGUUGAUGGUAGUGUGUUGGUUGAAGUUUGUCAUGCUAAAAUUAAGCUGUUGGUUACUUUCUUCAUCUUUGUUUCUACAAAUAAAAGGUCUUAGGUUAGCCCAAGUAGUGAAGGGAGGAUGAAGUUCGAUUUCCUCCAUUGUAACGAAAAAAGGAUGGGCAUAUAAAAUGAGUCUACAUUUUAAGAGGGGGUGUGAGUACUGAAUGUGGAUCGGUUUGUUGAGAGGUCCAUGAAGCUUUUGUAAGAUGAUCUGGUGCGGUGUUCAUGGGCUCAGCAUUAUGAUUAUGCCAAAUUACUUAGUGCAUUAUAUGCAGCUCAAUUUGCUAAAGCAGAUGUAUUGUAAAAUGGAAAAACUCUAAAUAGUGACUUAUAUAUUUGGCAGAAAAUUACAUGGCUUUAUUUAUUUCAUACUGAAUGUGAACAAAACAGAGCAGCAUACAAGAAUCUGAGAAACUACUACUCAAUUGGGAUCAUAACCUCAUUGGUCCUGAAUAGAGGCAAAGUCCAAGGAGGGUUAUAUCUUGCCAUCAAAAACUCCCUCUGCUUCAGCUUCUCCACCUUCUCUGUAGCCACACCCCUCACCACCCCAUAUUUCCUCUCACCGUCUUCCCUAAUAACUGUUGGCGAGUCCUUAUUUAGUCAGAAUUUUAGUUACGUAUCGUUGGCUAUUCCUUAUUUAGCCAGGAUUUGAAUUUUGGUUACUUACCGUUGGCUAUUCCUUAUUUAGCCAGCAUUUUGGUUACUUACCGUUUAUACAGUCUUACUUAUCAGUUUAUAUUGUCCGAUUGUAAUUGACAUUUAUUUCCUGUUUUAUAUAUUUUAAGGUUAACACAUCUUGAUAAAUACCUCCAUAUUAGAGAAGUUAGGAGCCUCCUCUUCCUUCCAUGCUCAUCAGCAACCUCCCUCCUACUCAGUCCCUCCCUCUGUAAAAUUUUAUCGGGUCUUCAUAUAUUGGAAUCAAACAUACACGUGGAGUAUUCUCAACCGUCAGAUUAAAAGUUACCAAAGGAUUCUGACCCGGCUCGGUUUAGUGCUUAAACCCUUGUUUUGCGAUACCUUUCCUUUGUCUCUAAGUAGACAAGGCGGAGGCUUUCAACCGAGAAACGACUGGUUUUCUUCUGUAACUUGUAAUCGCUGGUAAGAGCUCCUAGCUACUUUUUUUUUUGGGUUUAUUUUCUUCUUCUAGAAUCGAUUCAAUUAUGUAAAGUUCAUGUCUUUCAGUUUUGAUCAGUUUCUUACUUUGAAUGUAUAUCCUUCAUACCCUGUUCAGGAUCUGCACAGUUUCGGUUUGUGUUGGCUUAAUUUUAUGUAUGCAUGAAAUUUAUGAAACUUUUUGACUGAUAAUUCUCAUAAGAAUAUUGUCUUUCUUGUUUAGGAACUAAGAUGUUCCCUCUUCUCUCCUUUUUCACGGGGUUUGCGACUUUGAUCCAAGGCUUUUUGCUACUUGCAAAUGCAUUUGCAGUACUGAAUGAGGAUCGCUUUCUUGAUCCGAGGGGGUGGACCUUGCUACAAAUUCAAGGAGGAAGAACCACGCUCAAGGGAAAGAUCAUAGGGCUUAUACAUUUAUGCCAAUUCUUGAGAUUACCUCUCAUAAUUUUAAACAUCAUAGUUAUUGUAUUUAAGCUAAUCUUUGGGUGAAGCUCUGUGUGAAUUAUGCCUCUUUGUAAUUUAUAAUUGUUAUGAAUUUUGGGCAAGUUAACAUAGUUUUGAUCCAUGGCUCUACGUACAGUUACUUGGUUGAAUUUCAGUUUCAAAGUUUUCCCCUUUUCUCCUCUCCUCUGUUUUGUUUGUUUGCAAGAAACACACAAUAGCUUACUGAGUCGAUGGUAGUGUCGGUUGAAGUUUGUCAUGC